UCUUUAUUUGAACAUUACUUAUUUUUUUUUCUUAAUAUGACUUGAAUAAAAAAAAUUUCGAAAUAGAAAUGAU
rnacentral:tRNA from 1 species